CCACACUCAGUUCCCUGCCAGCAAUCAGAGAGGCAGGAGCUCCCUAAGCCAGGAUACGGGAUGAAGCUUGACCACAGCAGGCAGAGACCCCUGAGACUACCAGCUUUCAUGCAGUACUCAAGACCCACAUGGGACAGCGACCUCCAAAUUGGGCAGCCAAGAUGAUGCUGGGAGAUCACACAAGUCUGCCAGAGAAGGGAUAAAAGGCAGUGAAGUGUGACCCUCAGUGGCGCCCCCACAUCCAGCACCUGACUUACCGAGACAGGAGGACAAGCAGGUGACCCCUUUUUGGAGAAGACACCACCCAGGAGGAAGCUGACCAUUGACAGCAAAUCUGCAGGGCCUCAGAUAGCCUUUUCACUGCAGUAGGGGCCUCCCAGAUCUGGUCACAUCAGUAGCAGAAGGGGAGAGAGAUGGAAGGUGUCAGAAAACCCAAUGUAAUGUAAUGCGUUGUGUGCACUGAAAAUGCAAUAUGAGCGUGUGACAGGAGGGGGAGCAACCUUGUGGAGAGUUACUGACUGACCAUGGACCACAAAUCCCAGAGGCACCUGGAAGCAGGAAGUGGAAGGGACAAGAAACCCUGCAGACCUCUGCUGCUAGACUGCAAAUCCCAGGAGACCUUGGUGGAGCAGGAAGAAGUGGGGGGAUCUGGGAGCCUGGGCUGGCUACUGCCAGGAGUCCUGGGGGUGAUGGUGGUGCUGCUGUGAGCUGGACUGAAUGGGAGAAAAACCCCUGCAUUGCGCAGACGAACCACAGACCAACUGCACGUGAUCCCCGAUCUCUGUGCAGCCCUGAACAGAGCGACUCUGGACUAAAGGCUGGUUCUUGGGAACAUCCCCAGAGGUGGGCCCGGAUUCUACGUGCUGAAUGUAUGUGCCCUGGCGGUGCUGACCACUACCUGUUUGCUCAUCCUCUAAGUGUAUGUUGUUAUACUGUGAAUGCCUAUUUACCUGAAUUUGUCCUUUCCUGUUGGCCUCUUGGCUUGUGACUGAAACCCCUAAGACACUUGCUAUGAAGUAAAUCCCUCACUGGCUGUUGUGAUUGCAUCUGACACUGCAGGGGUCUGUUACACCGAGAAGGAAUCAACCCAUAAGUAAACUAAUGGUUUCCUACCUUGUAUUCCUGGGCAGUCUCGCUGCAGCUGGGUGCACUGAGGAUCUGUCACACGCCAGGUAGACAGUUGUUCCAUCCUCAGACCACAGGAGUUUCAGAGCCUGGUGCUCUCCAGACACCCUCUGCCUUUCAGCUUCUUCAGCUGUCCUCUGGGUUAUUUCUAUACCGUUCUCCAGCUGCUUGUUCAAGAGGUUGCUCAGGAGAAAGGUCUCACCAAGGGCAGCAGGUGUUUGUAACCAGCCCCUCCCAGCAGUGAGUGAUGCAGGCUCUGCAGACAUUGUGCCCACAGUCCAUAAGCAUCUGCAGAUCCUUGAAGAACUCCAGGCAGACGGAGCAGGUGGCUUCAUCCUGGAGACUUUCGAGAGGGCUCUCAGCAGCCAUGGCUCUGAGAAGGGAGUGUGACAGGUUGUUUCACUUUUCUGAGUUCAGGAAAGUGCUCAGCCUAAAGCAUCAGCCAGGUAUUUUCCUUCCUGGAAAGGAUUCCUGUUGUCUGCUGACCUGGCAGCUCCUGGGCACAGCUGUCUCUUAGCUCUUGGGCUGCCAAGGAAGCUGUAGCACACAGGGAAGCAGAAAUUUGUGACAGUUGCUAUUUUUGCAGCCUGCCAUUGAAGUAGGUGAUCGAGGCAUCAGUUUAGUUAUGCUAACAUCCUUCCAGGUCCGUGGAUUCAGGCCUUUCCCUUUUCUGCAAAGGAUGGGAGGGGUUCAGUGUGCUGCAUCUGCAGGAGGUCACUCGCUGGCUGCUGGCACUUCCCCUCCAUCUUUCUGAUCAUUUUGUAGAGAUGGGAAUCUCCUCAAAGAGUUUGGUGACUUUUUCUCCCUGAAUCUUCUCCCUUUCCAGCUCUUCAAGCCAGGCCAGCCAGAAGCGUUCCUGUUUUUCUAGGAAACCAUUCAAGUUCAGACACAAUCUUCCACCCCUUGGCAGCUUUGUUUUCCUGCCACAAUGAGAGAGUAGCCUGGGAAGACUCAGGGGAUGUUGAGUAAGACCUGGUGGGCCUGACUGUCUGCAGAAGGUCCCCCAGAGCUCCCAUGGUUUUUGGCAGUACUUGGGGCUGCUCAGCAUCUCUGGCCCUGCCUGGUAGCCAUGCACCUGGUUCUUCAAAGAUUUUUCUGCAGCCCUGAGGACUAGAAACCUAUGUAGGGGAAAAAUCAAUGGCUCCUUCUGAGGAAAGCUUCCCCUUCGCCACAGCUGAGUGGCCUGGUAAGGCCUGGCUGCAUGUACCUGCCACCUCCCACAGCAACAUGCAGUCACAGCAUAUCACACCUAGCACCACCAAAUGCACAGAGAAAGAGACACCCCCUGCUCCUGCUCCCCCCAGUCAUCCUGAUCACCAGGAACCACAAGCAAAAAGUUAUUCUACUGAGCAGGCUGGAGGGUGUGUGGGUUUGGGCCCUGUUGUGUCUUAUUGUGUUUUCCUUAUACUGUCCCUUGAAGGCCAAAGCCGUCAUGUCCAGCACUGCAGGGUUCAAUUUGCUUGUGGCAAUUUUGCAGCACUGUGGAGGGGACUCCAUUUUUCUCUGCCAUGAGGAGCCAGAGGCAUUCUUGGUUUCUCUCCGUCCACAGGACUGAACUGGGUCAAGUCAGAGGUAGAGCAAGUAUAUGUUCUGUACACAUAUACAAAGGGCAUUUGUUAAGAUCCACCCUGAUUCCAGAGAGUUAUAAUAAUGAAUAACUGUUAGUUCAACCCAGGAGUGUCCAGAGUGUUGUUGCUGAACUUGCAACAUAUCAUCUGGCGAUGAAGAUGGGAUCCUUUGCUGAAAAGACACCCUUAGAUUGUGGGAUGACAUUCUGAGACCCUGGCUGUGUUUUGUGAUCAGAGGAAAGUUUUUUCUUCUUCUUCUUUUCUCUCUAUUACAGCUGAUGUUAGUUAAAAUGGCCACAUUGGGGCAUGUAGAAGAAUUUGAUGCGAGCCAGACAGCUUCUUGGGAAUCCUAUGCCAAGAGGCUGUCCUAUUACCUGGAAGCCAACAAAGUGGAAAACCCAGCACAGAAGUGCGCAAUCCUCCUGACAGUCUGUGGUGCCAAAAUAUGUGCCAUUGCCCGUUGCCUCACAGCACCUGCCUUACCAAACACUAAAUCUUAUGCUGAACUAAUUUCUUUGCUAAAGGCACAUUUUUGCCCAAGGCCAUCUGUUACCCUGCAGAGAUUUCAUUUUUUUUAAAUGGGACCAAAAGGCCAACGAAGGCAUAGCAGAUUACCUGGCUGAGCUCUGUCACCUUGCAGAAUUUGGUGAGUUUGGUGAUAUUCUGGAUGGCCUGCUUCAUGACUGUCUUUUUUGUGGGGUUCUAGAUGAAGUAAUCUAAGAUCGCCUGCUCUCUGAACUAGAUUUGACCUUGGCUACUGAACAAGAAAAAGCCUUGGCAGCUGAAGUAGCAUCCCAUAACGUGAGAGAAAUUCACCAGGUGUUCUCCAGCAAUGUCCACUUACUCCAAAAAGAUCAAGAAUCAGAUCAUCACCAGCAAAUUCAGCAGAUUAUACCCUCACCAACAGCACCAUGUAAACCAAUUAAUCCAUAGACAUAUCUGAGUCGUGGCAGCCAACAUAGACAAAGGGAGUGCAGGUUUAGGAAUGUGGAGUGUCGUACCUGCAAGAAGAAGGGCCACAUAGAGAGGGUUCGCCACUCGAAGGCCAGUUCUGGAAGACAAAAAGACUGUGGCAAAUGUAUUCACUCCCAAACCACUGUCAUAUUGAAUGUAAUAUUUGAAUGUUUGUAAUAGUUGCCCAUUAGCCAGUUUAGGAAGACAAGAUUCAUCUUCUUAUCUAGGCCAUUGUUUUGGCCUGCGUGCGGAAGGUCCUGACUUUCCUCAAAGUCUUACCUUUUGAAUUUUAUCUUUAGAGGCCUUUAACAAAGUUAACAUAAAAAUAACCCUUAAGCAAACAUCCCACAUUCCGAGAAAUCAAACCUAGGAGCCUUUUAAAAGAUUGGAAAGAAAGGAAAUUCCUCAAAGUAAUUAAAUGAUCAACAAAAGAAACUAAUUACCAAGCAAAAGAAUCUGUUAAGAAAGAUCUGAGCCCAAAUUUGGGAGUAGUGACAGGUUUCAGUAGGAGGGGCCCAAGACAGCAACUCACUUAAUAAAAACUGUAACCUACUGUUCCAAUUUGGAGGUAACCUCACUUGCAGAACAAUGAAGGAAGAAUCGCAAGUGUAGGCCGGAUCAGACUGAUCACCUGAACCACCCUCUCCGUGAACACGAAUCUCUUAGUUCACGCUGAAGCUGCGGAGCACCCGAAAGGGACUGAAGGAAGGGGACUUAGUCCUAUCAGUAUUGAGGCCAGCCCAUUGAACCGUAUUGCUGAGGCCAACCCAUUAAAUUGUACUACUGAGGAAUGAAAGCAUAUCUAGAUGUUUGGCUUCUCGGAAUUCUAGGAUUUUGAUUGUAAGUAUAUUAUGAAAAAUAAUAGUAUUGAUUCAAAUUUAACUUUUAGUUGUAAUUGUUUUAAAGAAGUGCAUUUGGAGCAUUGUUUCUGAUAUAUGUUGUUAUUGUGUUCUUAAUGUUUGUGGUAUUUCUUAAAGCUAAGCAGUGUUAUAUGCGUAGCAAAGAAUUUUAAAGUAAAAUUGUGUUGUAUGAAUUAAGUGUGCAAUCGUUGUGAAAUCAUGCAAGUAGCUAAAAAUUUCCCCAGCCAGUGCAUCAAACGAAUCAGUAAGUUGUGUGGGAUCUUCUCUAUUCCAUAACCCACUAGAGACAACCACUCAUGGAUUAGAGUUCUCCCCAGAACAUGAGGUACAAAACCAUGUUUGAUUCAAAAUGUCGGUGUUGUUGAAACUCAAGGUUCUGAGAUGAUUGUAAUUGUAGUAAUAAAUGGAAAGAAAUGCAAAAUGGAAGUGGGCUCAGGUUUGGGAGUAUCCCUCAUAGAUGAAAACACAUUCUUCAAGUUGUUUUGGCACCCUCUCCCCAAGUUAUUGAAACCUGAGUGUUGCCUGCAUGACUACAAUGGACAGACUGUGGAAACUCUAGGUAGCUGAAGUAUAGAUGUCCAGUAUGGAUCUGUUAGACAGCGUCUACCCCUCAUUGUCACUAAGGGUUCCUGCAAAAGUCUUCUGGGGAGAAAUUGGUUCUCACCAUUGGAAAUCAGUAUUCAAGGCAUACGCAGUCUCUGCACAGAAAGUCUGCAAAGGCUUACAAGGGAGUUUCCCCACCUAUUCUCUGAGGAAUUAAGAACUUACUGUGGUCCGCCUGUGACGUUCCAAAUGGAUCCUGUGGUAGCCCCUAUCUUUAUGAAAGCUUGGAAUGUACCUUUCACAUUGCAGCCAAAAAUUGAUGCAGAAUUAGAUCGGUUUAUCGCGCAAGAGUUCCUCAAGCCAAUUGUACAUACAAGCUGGGCCACACCAGUUGCUCCCAUUUUAAAACCUAAUGGCAGUGUUCACAUCUGUGGGGAUUACAAGUGCACUGGUAAUAAAGCACUUAAGCAGGACCCACCCCCAGUGCCUGCCAUUAACCAGUUACUGUCUGUUCCUGCAGGAGGGAAGAUUUUUCCCAAACUUGAGCUUGGUAAAGCCUAUCAGAAAUUGAUAGUGGAUGUCAAGACUACUGAGGCCCAAACAAUAAUUACACUCUGGGGAGCAUUCUGUGUCAAGCACCACCACUUUCGAAUUUCUGUAGCACCAGGAAUUUUCCAGUGGUUCAUGGAGAAAUUGCUAGCAGGAAUUCCUGGGGUUGUUCCAUACUUGGAUGAUGUGUUGAUAAUGGGGCUGUCUAGAGAGAAACUCACUGAGAGACUCAGAGAAGUUUUACAGAGAUUUGAUAAAGCAGGUAUCAGAGUAAAAAAGAGAGAAAUGUCAACUGGGAGUUUUCAGCAUCAACUUUCUGGGAUAUCAGAUUGAUGCUUCUGGCAUUCACCCAGCUGAAGACAAGGCAAGAGCAAUACAUGAUUCCCCUAUACCAAAAUGCAGACAGGAUCUUCAAGCACGCUUAGGACUUCUCAGUUUUUAUCACAUCUUCUUGAAAGACAAAGCCACCAUAGCAGAGCCCCUUCAUUACUUACUGGAUAAAGGAGCUCAGUGGAAGUGGAAGCUCUCCAUCAACUGUUUGCAACCCAUGGAGUGCCCGACACUAUCAUUUCUGAUAAUGGCAGUGCAUUCACCUCAGCAGAGUUCCAAGAUUUUGCCAGCCGCAACCUCAUUCAAACUGUUACCAUUACACCUUGCAGGUCAGAGGCCAAUAGGCAAGCUGAACGAAUGGUGCAGACUGCAAAAGAUGCACAGAAAAGGAUUGUUGUAGAAGACUGGCCAGAUUUCUGCUUGCUCAACAUGUAAUUCCUUGCCCUAAAACAGGGUCCAGCCCAUCAGAGCUUCUUAUAGGUUGUCAUCUCAAGACAUGCCUUGACCAUGUUAACCCAGACCUUGUGUGAGACAUGCAGUUUAGGAAAGAAAAGGAGUUGGACCCCGCGUUGGCAUCUGGUACUUUACUUCUUUUCAUUCCACAAGAAACUGUGUUUGCUCAGAACAAUGGGACAGGCCCAGAGUGGGUUCAAUCUAAAAUUGUGGGUGUCACAGGGCCCAUAUCAUAUACAGUCAAAUCUGAUGAUAGGCAAGUUUGGAGACAUCAUAUGGCCCAGCUGCUUGGGCAUUCUCCUGCUGAUAACCUUACACUUGAGCAAUUUCCAAGCACCAACAGACAUGGAUUCAUUGGGGAAGUGCCAACCUGGUUCCAGCAAUGCAAACCCUUUUUCAUCACCGUCAGAAGGAAGCGUCACUGUUGAGUCUCCAGAUAGGCUGACAGGGCCGCCAUCUGCUGAACUCCUCACUGAGUCUGGUUCUAUGGGAAGACCACAGCAGAAGUGGAGUCUUCCCAAAUGGCUGGCUGGCUCUUCUGGCUAGGGGGAAGGAGUGUUGUUUCAUAGACAUUAAGGGCUGGAAGGGACCCCGUGAGAUCAAGUCCAGCCCCCCUGCCAUAGGCAGGAAGUCAGCUGGGGUCAAGUUAUCCCAGCAAGAAAAAUAUCCAGAUGUUUUUUGAAAGAGUCCAGAGUAGAUGCUUGCACCACCUCUGUGGGGAGUCUGUUUCAGACCCUGGAUACAUGCACCAUUAGGAACUUUUUUUUAACAUCUAGUCUAAAUCAGCCUUCCUGGAGCUUAUGGUCAUUAGACCUUGUUAUAGCUUGGGGAGUUCUGGUGAACAGCUGUUCUCCCAGGUCCUGAGGUACCCCUCUUAUAUAAUUGUAGGCUGCUACCAAGUCCCCCCCCCGAGCCUUCUCUUUUCCAGACUGAAGAGUCCCAAAUCCCUCAGCCUCUCCUUGUAUGGCCUGCCCUCCAGGCCUUGGGUGGCUCUCCUCUGGACUCUCUCAAAUUUUUCCACAUCCCUCCUGGUGUGGAGGGCCCAAAAUUGGAUGUAGUACUCCAGCUGCGGCCUCACCAAGGCCAAGUAAAGUGGGAGGAUGACUUCCCUGGUUUUGCUUGAGAUGCAUCGGUAGAUGCACACCAGAGUUUGGUUUGUUUUGGCAGCCACAGCAUUGCAAUGGUGACUCAUAUUCAUCUUGUGGUCAGUUGGGACCCCCAAGUCUUUUUUGGUUGUGGUGCUAGCGAGCGUAGCACUGCCAAGCCUGUAAGUAUGUUGAAGGUUCUUCCUACCGAGGUGCAGCACCUUGCACUUCUCUACAUUGACGGCCAUCAGGUUUUGGUCAGCCAACCUUGAGAGUGUGUCCAAGUCAGCCUGUAUCCCCAGCCUGUCCUGCUGUGUGACCGCCCUCCCCCAUAAUUUGGUGUCAUCCAUAAACUUUGCCAGUUUGUAUCUGA